rnacentral:tRNA from 4 species
CGCGGGGUGGAGCAGUCUGGUAGCUCGUCGGGCUCAUAACCCGAAGGUCGCGGGUUCAAAUCCCGCCCCCGCUACGA